rnacentral:rRNA from 1 species
AUACGGAGGAUCCGAGCGUUAUCCGGAUUUAUUGGGUUUAACGGGUGCGCAGGCGGCCAUUUAAGUCAGCGGUUAAAUCGUGGGGCUCAACCCCAUUCUGCCGUUGAUACUGGGCGUCUUGAUUGCGGUCGAGCAUGGCGAAAUUCGUGAUGUAGCGGUGAAAUGCAUAGAUAUGACGAAGAACACCGAUUGCGUAGGUAGCUGACCAGACCGCAAAUGACGCUCAUGCACGAAAGUGCGGGGAUCGAACAGGAUUAGAUACCCUGGUAGUCCGCACAGUAAACGAUGAAUACUUGGUUUCGGCGAUAUAAUGUCGGAGGCAAAGCGAAAGCGAUAAGUAUUCCACCUGGGGAGUACGCCGGCAACGGUGAAACUCAAAGGAAUUGACGGGG